AAAACAAAAGUGCAAUAAAUCCUUACUUACCACAAAAAAAAAGAGGGGGCACCUGCUAUUUCUGUGCUUGGGGCUUCUUCCUUCCCUGGCUGAUGCCAUUGGUUCAGCAAUCUUGAGGGAUGAGAAAGUAUCCUCAUGUGGGAGUCUGCCGUUAUUAACUGCACUGUUAAUAACUGUUAUUAUUAAUAUAAUAUAUUAAUAUAAACUGUAAACUAAUAAUAAAAACUGUAAUUAUUAUUAAUAAACUUACAGUUUAUAAUCCAGUUGUGCUGUGAGAGAAGUUCAGCAGCUGGAUAAUGCAGGAUAGAAAAUGGAGUUGACAGAGAUGCAAAACAACUCUCCUACUGCCUUGACUUGAACUGUGUCUCAGUGUGCUAUUACACUGACUCAUUAGUGCAAGCAGAUGUGUACCAUGAGGAAGGGCUGUUUUCUGAUGUGGGAUUUAGUUCUUGGGCCCGCUUUCCUGACAAGGGUUUUCUUUACCUACUCCCAUGGAUGAUAAUAACAGUAAAAAAAAGCCAUCCAGGGCUAAGAGGAGGUCUUUCAAACUUGAUGUGAUAUGUCUGUUCCUCAGGGGUUCAUAUGGUCUCGUGUACUUGACACUGCAAAAAAACAG
rnacentral:lncRNA from 1 species